GGGCGAGUGGCGAAGUGGCUAACGCUGUGGACUGCAAAUCCACCAUUCGUCGGUUCAAUUCCGACCUCGCCCUCCA
rnacentral:tRNA from 1 species